rnacentral:piRNA from 1 species
UAACAAUGCAGUAUUAUUAUA